CAGGAAUCAGUUGUAAUUCAUUUAUGGCAAACUCAUCUUUGAUCAGAAAAUAUAGAUAUUGUUCUUUUUCACAUGUGACAGGCACAAACCACCUUUUUCAGUAUAUUAUUUUGAAAGAUUAGUUUUUUUAUUUUUUUUAUUUUUUUUGUUUAAGCUGAAGAACCCCUGGACAAUCUUCUGUUUUGACAUUUCUAGAACACUUGAAGUAGCUCUGAAUCAGAAACCACAAAGAGAUCCAGGACAUGUGUAAGAGAUGCCAGGGAGGGAUUGGAUUCUUCACUGCUCUGCAUUCAUUCACUCCAAGGCAUAUUGACAAGAAUAGGAUUCAGAUGAUGCAGAGCUGCUACUUUGGCUGUGCUCAAUGCUUCACUGAGUAUCAAGGACGGCUUGGAUCAGCUUGGGAUGGUAAAAUUAAGCCAGUUGUUUAGGACCUGAACACAAACCUAUCUCAUUGACUGUAGCCAAGUUUAACAUCCAAGCAU
rnacentral:lncRNA from 1 species